GCGCUCCCUUCAGCAGCACGUAUGCUGACAUCGGAAGGCUACAGAGAAGGUUAGCAUGGCCCCUGCGUAAGGAUGACACACGAAUUCAUGAAAUGUUCGUAUUUAAA
ensembl:snRNA U6 U6 spliceosomal RNA